rnacentral:rRNA from 1 species
AUUGAACGCUGGCGGCAGGCUUAACACAUGCAAGUCGAGCGGGGGAAGGUAGCUUGCUACCGGACCUAGCGGCGGACGGGUGGGUAAUGCUUAGGAAUCUGCCUAUUAGUGGGGGACAACAUAUACAAAGGGAUGUUAAUACAGCAUACGUUCAUCGGUAGAAAGCAGGGGAUCUUCGGAUCUUGCGCUAAGAAAUGAGCCUUAGUCGGAUUAGCUAGUUGGCGGGGUAAAGGCCGACCAAGGCGACGAUCUGUAGCGGGUCUGGGAAGAUGAUCCGCCGCACUGGGACUGAGACACGGCCCAGACUCCUACGGGAGGCAGCAGUGGGGAAUAUUGGACAAUGGGGGGAACCCUGAUCCAGCCAUGCCGCGUGUGUGAAGAAGGCCUUAUGGUUGUAAAGCACUUUAAGCGAGGAGGAGGCUACUUUAGUUAAUACCUAGAGAUAGUGGACGUUACUCGCAGAAUAAGCACCGGCUAACUCUGUGCCAGCCGCCGCCGUAA